rnacentral:lncRNA from 1 species
CCCAGACCUGCCUCCUCCCUGGAGCGGGUUCUGCAGGGCUGCUCUCUGGGGACAAACCCCACCCAUUGCCUUUGUCGGAGGAAGUCCUUCCUUUGGCUUCACAUUUGAGGCGCAGCUUGCUGCUCGGGGGUUCCAGGGGCCAACUCCUUUCCCUGCUGAUGGCUAUCCUGAGUCCUGGCAGCCUGAAGCAGCCUUGUCCCUGCUGCCCCGGGUCGAGGCUGCAGGUGUCCUCAGUUUCUUGGAGCUGUGGUUUGGUGUCCAUCUUUAAAUCAGGAAGUUUUUCAGUCAAUACUCAUCACUUGACCUUUUAUGGUCCUUUCUUUUUCCUGGGCACAUGGCCAGCGCCUGUGACCGGCGGUUCCUCCCUAUCCCUGUUUUCCUGCUCCUCCCUCGCUCCCUCCCUUUGCUUUCCCCUCUGGGGCAUGGUACUCAUGUCCUGCGGGCCAGCCUGCCUGAGGUGCUGCCGUUCCCUGCAGGCGAGGCCCGGUUCCCCCAGCCUUCCUCCAAGGGGCCACCUUCUGCAUACCCGCCUCUGUUCCUUCGUGUUGGCACGUCCUCCAUCGGGGCCAUAGCUCACUGAUAGUUGCUGUUUUAGAUUCCUGGUCUCAUCAUUCCAAAUCUGCCGUGUUCUUGUCCUUUCUUUCUUUCUUUUUUUACAUUUACUUGGUUGUAGAUGGACACACAGUAUCUUUAUUCAUUUUUAUGUGGUGCUGAGGAUUGAACCCCGUGCCUCACACAUGGGAGGCAAGCGCUUUACCACUGAGCUACAUCCUCAGCCCGUUACUGUCCUUUCU